rnacentral:misc_RNA from 1 species
AGGAUACGAAGGAGUCGGUUCGAAAAGGUUUAUCUUUUUAACUUGGGUCAUUUGUCGUGUUAAGGUAACUAAAACGUCCAAUGUCGCAGUGAAAAGUGAUGAAAUUAUCGAGACUGACUGUGAUUUUAUCUGGCAGUGUAUAGGUACUACGAGGAAGAAAUUGCACAUUGAACGAUCAUUGCUGGUGUACGGUGAAACUAAUAGACAUCUAAUUACCAAGUUUCCAAGCUUCUGUCGGUUAGCAAGAGGUCAUUGACGCGCUCGAGUUCCUUCUGCAAUCUACAAAAUUGCGUACACCGCCAUAUGUAGCUACAUGUUUCAGUCUGCCAACUAACAAUAAGCCAAAACUGACUAAAUACACGUUGGCCAGAUACUAGCGCGAUUGUCUAAUUUUAAUUAUUUGUCUACUUCUUCCUCUCUACAUUCAAAACUUGCUACUGGAGGAGUAACUUUGAACCGACCUACGCAAAUAUUAAUUUCAUUAAAUACCAAUUAAAUUAUUUAUAAAUGAUGAAUAAAUUAUUGGAAGAAGUCUGUCAGAUAAAACUUGUUCUGUUUCGAGUGGGACGUCUCACGAUGACCAGCAGAUUUGCCUAGGUACAGGCGUUUUCGAGAUUUCGAGGUGACCUUUGUCCCUUUAAAUGGAACUACAUAUUUUUUCCACAGUUAUUCGAUGCAGCUUCUAAUUCUCUACAAAAAAGUAUCUAGCUACUUGUAUCCGAAAAUGGACAGUUUGAAAGAUAUUGCAAUGUUAACUUCGUUGG